AUGUCAACAGGGGCCCACAUGGAUCUCGAGGCGGAGCCGGGCGGCGUCCCGGCGGCGGCCCCGCCACCGCCGGCCGACGUUGGCAAUGUUCGCAAAGAUCUAUUCCUCGCGUACAAGACUCUGGGUGUGGUCUUUGGUGGCCUCGUUACUUCUCCGCUCUAUGUUUUUUCCACAAUGCAUAUGUCAUCACCCACAGAAGCUGACUUUCUGGGAAUAUACAGCAUAAUGUUUUGGACUCUUACUUUAAUUGGUGUGGUCAAGUAUGUAGGCAUAGCUCUCAACGCUGAUGAUCACGGUGAAGGUGGUACAUUUGCCAUGUAUUCUCUGUUGUGUAGGCAUGCCAAUAUGGGCAUCCUUCCUUCCAAGAGAGUGUAUUCAGCAGAAGAACAGCUGCUUCACAAUCAGUCACAAUCAGCUAAAACGCCUAGUAAUCUGGGCAAGUUCUUUGAGAGAAGCUUAACUGCAAGAAGGGUAUUGUUAUUCAUGUCAAUUCUUGGGAUGUGCAUGCUCAUUGGAGAUGGCGUCCUAACUCCUGCUAUUUCAGUGUUAUCAGCAAUCCAGGGACUGCGCGCGCCAUUUCCUGCUGUCACUCAACCGGUCGUGGCAUUUCUAUCUGCGGCAAUUCUUAUUGGCUUAUUCUUAGUGCAAAAGUAUGGGACUUCAAAAGUGAGCUUUCUGUUUUCUCCAAUCAUGGCAGCAUGGACUUUCACCACUCCGAUGAAUAAAAAGGAAGGCUGGCAGAUGCUUGGUGCGACUGUUCUAGCCAUCACAGGUGCGGAAGCUAUGUUCGCCGAUCUUGGCCACUUCAGCAAAAAGGCUAUUCAGAUAGCAUUUCUAUCCAGCGUAUAUCCUUCUCUGAUCCUCACUUAUGCCGGGCAAACAGCAUGCCUUAUUAACCAUCUCAAAGACACCGACCAAGAGAACAUUGGCAAAGUCUUCGAUGAUGCAUUCUACAAAUUUAUCCCUCGCCCUGUUUACUGGCCGAUGUUCGUCAUCGCGACACUCGCUGCCAUUGUUGCAAGCCAAUCCUUAAUCUCGGCAACAUUUUCUGUCAUCAAGCAAUCAGUUGUCCUGGACUACUUCCCACGUGUCAAAGUGGUGCACACAUCGGAUGAAAAUGAAGGGGAGGUUUACUCACCGGAAACUAAUUACAUUCUGAUGGUGCUGUGCGUUGGUGUUAUACUAGGCUUUGGAGGUGGACAAGCGAUAGGGAAUGCUUUUGGCCUUGUUGUGAUCAUGGUCAUGCUCAUAACCUCAAUCAUGCUGACUCUUGUGAUGAUCAUCAUAUGGAGAACGCCGCCUGUUCUCGUCGCGACAUACUUCGUCCCGUUCGUCAUCAUGGAAGGGUCCUAUGUCAGUGCCGUCUUCACCAAGUUCACCGAAGGAGGCUGGCUACCCUUCGCCAUCUCCAUGAUCCUCGCACUGAUCAUGUUCGUCUGGUACUACGGCAGACAAAAGAAAACAGAGUACGAAAGGGCGAACAAGAUAUCGGCGGAGCGCCUCGGCGAGCUCUUGGCAAAGCCGGAGGUCCAGAGGGUCCAGGGCCUGUGCUUCUUCUACAGCAACAUACAGGACGGGCUGACCCCCAUACUCGGCCACUACAUCAGCAACAUGAGCUCGCUGCAUUCGGUCACCAUCUUCGUGACCCUGAGGUACCUGCUGGUUCCCAAGGUUGAUCCGCAGCAGAGGAUCGCGGUCAGGAGGCUCGGGCCGAGAGGGGUGUACCAGUGCACUGUCCAGUACGGCUACGCCGACAACCUGAGCCUCAAGGGGGGCGAGGACCUCGCCGCGCACGUCGUGAGCUGCCUGAGGCAGCACGUCCAGGCCAGCGCCGACGGGCAGUCGUCCCCCGUCUCCGCCGAGGAGGAGGCGGCGGACCUGGAGGCGGCGCGGGCGGCCGGGGUGGUGCACGUCCGGGGCAAGAUGAGGCUCUACGUGGGCGACGACGCCGGCUGGUUCGACAAGGUGAUGCUCCGGUUCUACGAGUUCCUGCACAGCAUCUGCAGGUCGGCGCUGCCGGCCCUCGGGGUGCCCCUGCAGCAGCGCGUCGAGAUCGGCAUGCUCUACAAGGUUUGA
rnacentral:rRNA from 1 species